rnacentral:lncRNA from 1 species
CAUAAUAGCAGUGUCAAAUAAUUUAGUGAAUUUUUUAUUUAUUUCUGUUGUAGCUGCAUCUGCAAAUGAGUGUCAAAGAGCGAGUCAGCAAGCGGACACUGAGUUCUACAGUAAACCUAUAAAAGGACAGAAUUCAAAUUUCUUCAGGAAAGCAGACAAACAGUAAGAGAAGUCAUCCUGAUUGUGGAAGCACUGAUCUGUCAAAGAAAUGCACUAAACAGGAACUGAUACAAUAUAGUGCACAUUAAUAUCAACAAUUUCAUGGCAAUUCGUAACUAUUUUACAUGAUAAUUGCGG